rnacentral:rRNA from 1 species
CAGUAGCCGCGGGAAUACGGAGGGUGCAAGCGUUAAUCGGAAUUACUGGGCGUAAAGCGUGCGUAGGCGGUUUGUUAAGUCUGCUGUGAAAUCCCCGGGCUCAACCUGGGAAUGGCAGUGGAUACUGGCAAGCUAGAGUGUGUCAGAGGAUGGUGGAAUUCCCGGUGUAGCGGUGAAAUGCGUAGAGAUCGGGAGGAACAUCAGUGGCGAAGGCGGCCAUCUGGGACAACACUGACGCUGAGGCACGAAAGCGUGGGGAGCAAACAGGAUUAGAUACCCGAGUAGUCCCUGUCUCUUAUAC